GACAGAGGGUGCAAACGUUGUUCGGAAUUACUGGGCGUAAAGCGCGUGUAGGCGGCUAUGUAAGUCGGGCGUGAAAUCCCCGGGCUCAACCCGGGAACUGCGUCCGAUACUGGAAGGCUUGAAUCCGGGAGAGGGAUGCGGAAUUCCAGGUGUAGCGGUGAAAUGCGUAGAUAUCUGGAGGAACACCGGUGGCGAAGGCGGCAUCCUGGACCGGUAUUGACGCUGAGGCGCGAAAGCCAGGGGAGCAAAGCGGG
rnacentral:rRNA from 1 species